AACCCAGUGCAAUUCGUUGCACUAUCGUUAACUGAAUACAUAGGUUAACGAGGCGAACCGGGGGAACUGAAACAUCUAAGUACCCCGAGGAAAAGAAAUCAACCGAGAUUCCCCCAGUAGCGGCGAGCGAACGGGGAGCAGCCCAGAGUCUGAAUCAGCUUGUGUGUUAGUGGAACGGUCUGGAAAGUCCGACGGUACAGGGUGAUAGUCCCGUACACCAAAAUGCACAGGUUGUGAACUCGAAGAGUAGGGCGGGACACGUGGUAUCCUGUCUGAAUAUGGGGGGACCAUCCUCCAAGGCUAAAUACUCCUGACUGACCGAUAGUGAACCAGUACCGUGAGGGAAAGGCGAAAAGAACCCCGGCGAGGGGAGUGAAAAAGAACCUGAAACCGUGUACGUACAAGCAGUGGGAGCACCUUCGGGUGUGACUGCGUACCUUUUGUAUAAUGGGUCAGCGACUUAUAUUCUGUAGCAAGGUUAACCGUAUAGGGGAGCCGCAGGGAAACCGAGUCUUAACUGGGCGUUAAGUUGCAGGGUAUAGACCCGAAACCCGGUGAUCUAGCCAUGGGCAGGUUGAAGGUUGGGUAACACUAACUGGAGGACCGAACCGACUAAUGUUGAAAAAUUAGCGGAUGACUUGUGGCUGGGGGUGAAAGGCCAAUCAAACCGGGAGAUAGCUGGUUCUCCCCGAAAGCUAUUUAGGUAGCGCCUCGUGAACUCAUCUUCGGGGGUAGAGCACUGUUUCGGCUAGGGGGUCAUCCCGACUUACCAACCCGAUGCAAACUACGAAUACCGAAGAAUGUUAUCACGGGAGACACACGGCGGGUGCUAACGUCCGUCGUGAAGAGGGAAACAACCCAGACCGCCAGCUAAGGUCCCAAAGUCAUGGUUAAGUGGGAAACGAUGUGGGAAGGCCCAGACAGCCAGGAUGUUGGCUUAGAAGCAGCCAUCAUUUAAAGAAAGCGUAAUAGCUCACUGGUCGAGUCGGCCUGCGCGGAAGAUGUAACGGGGCUAAACCAUGCACCGAAGCUGCGGCAG
rnacentral:rRNA from 1 species